rnacentral:rRNA from 1 species
CCUACGGGGGGCAGCAGUGGGGAAUAUUGCUCAAUGGGCGAAAGCCUGACGCAGCGACGCCGCGUGAGGGAUGAAGGUCUUCGGAUCGUAAACCUCUGUCAGCAGGGAAGAACGGUCACUGUGCUAAUCAGCAGUGAAUUGACGGUACCUGCAAAGGAAGCACCGGCUAACUCCGUGCCAGCAGCCGCGGUAAUACGGAGGGUGCGAGCGUUAAUCGGAAUUACUGGGCGUAAAGCGUUCGUAGGCGGUAUGUCAAGUCAAGGGUGAAAUCCCCGGGCUCAACGUGGGAACUGCCUUUGAAACUGGCAAGCUGGAGUGUGGGUGAGGAUAGUGGAAUUCCAGGUGUAGGAGUGAAAUGCGUAGAGAUCUGGAGGAACAUCAGUGGCGAAGGCGACUAUCUGGCACAUAACUGACGCUGAGGAGCGAAAGCGUGGGUAGCAAACAGGAUUAGAUACCCUGGUAGUC